GGUCCAAUCAGAGCUGUAGCUGCCAGCCUACACCACAGCAACGCAGGAUCUGAACCAAGCCGAGUCUGUGACCUACACCACAGCUCACAGCAACGCCAGAUCCUUAACCCACUGAGUGAGGCCAGGGAUCAAACCUGCAACCUUAUGGUUCCUAGUUGGAUUCAUUUACACUGCACCACGAUGGGAAUUCCAAAGAGCUUCUUUUAAUGAGAAAAAUCAAUGGAGGGCUGGGACAGAAAACAAGAAGAGGAUACAAGGGAGGGCUGGAAAAGUUGCAGGGAAAGAGCACGGCCAAAGGCAUUUCAGGACUGGGUUUAUACUCAUGCAUUCAUUGGAAGUAUCCAUUAUGAUUGGACGGCUAUGAUUCAGAUAGAGGUGUUAAAGGAAAUAUGAUUAGAUUAAUUAUGAUUCAGAUAUAGGUGUUAGAGGAAAAAAGAACUACAUUAAUUUUGUACCUUUAUUCCUCAUAGUUUAGCAUUUACCUAAGAGGACAAACUCUCUUCUCUCCUUGUCGUCAGAAGCCAAGUAGAAAGCAAACUUGUUGGAAGAGCAGACAUCAUGCUUCUAACCCUUGGUACUUCUGGGGCUCAGGGGUUCUAAACCUCACUCUUAUUCCUACCUCUGCUUCUUACUAAUCUUUGCAAAUCCAAAUUAUCCUUAGCAGUCUAGUUUUCAGACCUAAUUACUUGGCCAUACACCUCUAACAUUCUCUGUCCAGGCCUGAAGGUUAAACCUUUUGCUUCCAGCCAUAGCAUCCCUAGGUGUCUGCACUGGGAUGGGCCAGGCCCCUUGCUCGAGUAGCACCUGAGGUCCAUUUUAGGAUAAAUCCAUUCCACUGGUGCAAUCACUCUCAGAAUGUGGUCCCUGGACUCACCAUGUCACUAUCACCUGGAAACUUAUUAGACAUGCAAAUUCUCAGUGUCCCCCAGGCCAGCACUCCUGAAUUGGAAGUUUGGGGUGAUGGAGGACAACAAUCUGUGUCUUCACAAGCCCACUGGGUGAUUCUGAGGCAUGCUAAAGUUUGAAAGGCCUGGUUUAGUUCUUGAGUCUUCUCACUCCUUGAGACAUCUGUCAGUACCAUGGGUUUGGACAGAGAGGACUUAGCGUUGGACGGCUCAUCAACUUAGCUGAUGGCAUGACCCUGGGUCCUUGCUCAGCCUCUGUGCUUUUCUAUUUUCUCAUUUUAAAAAUACACUCAAGAGCUAUAAUCUAGCUUUUGUUUUUUUCUGUGUUUGCUGAUGAGUAACUAAUGGAGGGUUGUGCCAUCCCAUGUUAAACUUAACUGCCUGACUGAUGCUUAGCAAUGGCUUUUGUCCUAAGGUUGUCCUUGUGAUUGCUGGGCCUCACUCUCCUGCUUUGGAUUUUAACAGCAAUCUUCUGGCCCAUGUAGACUCCAUAAAUCAUUGGGGCAUGGGCUAUAAUGCUAUAGAUUCAUCUAUUUGUAAUUAGACUUAAUAUGGAUUUAACCAUUAGUUAAACACUCAUGCUUCAGGAUUUGCUUAAACUGAAGAAAGCAUGACCUUUGUUCUAACAUGAAAAGGCUUUCCCUUGGAGUAUUUGAGGUCAAGGAAUGAGAGAGAACAUUUCUGUAACAUAAAGUAAUGACUCACAGGAAGGUCAAAUAGAAGCCAGGGCCCUUCAAGCAAUUAAUCUGGAUAAAAACCAUGAGAUGGGAGUUCCCGUCUUGGCUUAGUGGAAACAAAUCUGACUAGCAUCCGUGAGGACAGAGGUUCCAUCCCUGGCCUGACUCAGUGGGUUAAGGAUCUGGCGUUGCCCUGAGCUGUGGUGUAGGUUGCAGACGUAACUGGUGUUGCUAUGGAUGUGGUAUAGGCCAGUGGCUGCAACUCCAAUUCGACCCCUAGCCUGGGAACCUCCAUAUGCUGCGGGUGUGGCCCUAAAAAGCCAAAAAAAAAAAAAAAAAAAAAAAAAAAAAAAAAGAAAUGAUGAUGGUGACCACAGAAAAUACCAAUCCUACAGAAAGAACUGGUCAUGCACUUGCCAACUUUUCAGGAGCAAUGGAGGAGUCUUGAAAGGAUCCCAAAGAAACCACUCUUUGAGAAGUUCCUUCCUGGACAAGAACAGAAAUUAAGGAGAUGAAUGAAAGGAGAAUAAACAGUGCAGAUGAGGGUUUUAGUUUGGAUCCCCCCCAGAGGCAGAUCUUGAGCAAGAAUUUUAGUGCAAGUACUUUAUCUGGGAUGUGAUGCCAGAAAAUACCAGUAGGGGAGUGAGGACCCAAGACAGGGAAGGUAAGGAACAAAGCACAGUGUGUAUCACCAAGGGUGCUGUCACUAUCAGCAACCAAAAUAUAGGGUCAGAGGUUCAAGUUCAAGUCCAGGCUCUUAGGCUUAUCAACUUGGUCCCUUGAAAAAACAUAUCUUCUCUCUGUACAUCACAUCCCUCCACAAAGAGAUGGAGAUAAAAAUGUCCAGCGCAUGGGAUGAUUCUAUUGUUAUUAAUAAUACAUAAUUACCAUCUACUGAACAUGUCCUGUACCAGGACCAAUGCUGAUCAUGCCCCCACAUCCUGGAAAAUAGGGAAAUUCUCUUUGCAUUUUACUGAGAGAUCACAGAGACUACAUAAUUUUAAAAUCAUAAAGGGAUUAUGUAAACUAUAAGAUAAUGCUAAUGGGACCUUUAUAUAGCUUUUCAUGAGUCAUCAGGAAGCCUGUACUUUGUUAUAACUUUGUAAUUCAUGAGCUAUGAGGCCUCAACCAGAUCACUUUGCCUCUUAUUAAAAAAAAAAAAAAGAUUAUGCAAGAUGUGCAAGAUGUUUACACUAGAAGAGGCUUAAUGAAAUGUGCUCAGGACCUCCCAGUACAUGUCUUGGCAACUACCUACAAAUCCUUCAAGUUAUUAUUUGAAAAUAAGAGUUAAAAAAAAAAAAAAAGGAGUCCAUAAUGUUACGGACUGAACUGCACCCUCCACACAAAGUUUAUAGCCCCCAAAGUGACUGCAAUCACUACAAACACUUUGGAAAAGUGGUAGAAUUUAUCAAACCAAACAUGUGGCCCAGGAGUUCCCGUUAUGGCACAGCAAAAAUGAAUCCAACUAGUAACCGUGAGGUGGCAGGUUCGAUCCCUGGCCUUGCUCAGUGGGUUAAGGAUCUGGCAUUGCUAUGAGCUGUGGUAGGCUAUGUGGCUCAGUCACUCCCACUGUCCCAGCUAGACAACUGUGAGCAUUUAGCCUACCCACCAGUUGACCAAAGGUACAUAAGCAAGACUUACCAAGAUCAGCUGAACUUCACCCAGGUCAGCAGAACCACCCACAGGACUCACAGACUUCUUGGCAAUAAUAAAUGAUAACUGUUUUAAACCACUAAGUUUCAAGGUGACUUGUUAUGUGACAAAGGCUACAGCCAUAUCAGGACUCUCUGUGGCACUUGCUUAUUUGCUGCCAACCUUCCUUCUGAUACAGCUUCACUAUGUGGUGAGAGCUUUAGCCUGGUACUUAAGAACUUGGGAUUCAAAGUUUUGGAUUCAAGCAAUGGUAGAAAAAUGCAAGACUUGGAAAAAUCACCAUUAAAGUAUUGUUUCAUAUGCAUACAUGUAUGACUGUAGGUAUUUUAAUCUUCUAAUGGGUGCACCUUUGAUGUGUUGGUUCUAAAUAGUCAGUUUGUUCUGGGUACUAUUAGAUGAAUGAGAUGACUGGGAGCUCCACUUGACUGGGAGCUCCUUAAGGACAGAAAUUGCAGUUUAUAAGCAAUGGACAGGGUCUUAAGUUGGGUUUUCUCAGAGGUAGACCCUGGAGCAAAGACUCAAGCCUUCCCAAAGGCUUAUUUGGGAAGUGAUCCAGUACUGCUUAGGGAAUGGGGAAGGGUAUACCGUCGAAGAGUCACUUGGUGGACAGUGAGAUUUUUACCCUGCUGGGGAAAUUUAGAAAAAGUUUAGCAAACCUACCUUAAAUUUAUCUGACCACGAGGCUCAGAGAACUGGAGGAUCUAUCCCACAAACCUCCAUCUAUCAUUGAUUAUAAUUUAAUCCCAAAGGGAGUUUAUUUCCCAGCACUUUCAGCCAUAAGCACGUAUAGAGUAGGCUCUGGUAGAUGAAGAACACACUCAGGCAAAGCAAAAGGGGGCUGAAUAGCAGGGCACCAACAGCCGCCUACCACCAAGAUUGUGUCUUACACCUGCAACAUUCUAGACGUGAUUAAUCUUUGCACAUAGAGUCCUCUAUUGACCUAAACAUUUUUUUCUUCAGGAAAUUAAAUGAUUUUCUUUCCAAGCUUUACUGUGUAAAGUGGUUCCCAUUUUCACUCCCCAGAUACAGUUCUAGGGUUACCUCAUCUGCAGGAUCCUUGUACAACGUCUUCCUUUCACAUCAAUAAGUAGACAGGUGACAGAUGAAAGGAUUAAGAAGAUGUGGCACA
rnacentral:lncRNA from 1 species